UUAAAGGAAACAGACAAUUCCCUGUAAUUGGCUAACUCAUAUGGCAGAGAAAGCCAGCGAGCUCUGUGGAUCUAUAUGGGGUGGGUGGGAGCUGAGACUGGGAAGAUCUCAGUUCCAGGCCAGCCUAGGCAUACAAGCCACGAGACUCCACUGAGAGAAGCUGGAUGUGGUGGUACACCCCUGUGCUCCCAACAAUGGGAAGCAGUCUCUUCUGGAAUGAUUUUUUUGCCAAGUUACUGCUUCUUUACAUCUGAUGGAAAGCCAAGGAUAGGUAUAUCUAUUGGUAGAGCACUCUCAGGGUGCAAAGGAGACUGGGAACAUGGAUGGGUGGCAUUCUCUCAUUUUGCUCAACCAAUGAGAGACCCCAGCUAGCCUUUCCCCCAGAGUUGUCAUGGACUGCCUGUGCCACCUCACCAAAGUGGUCAGGAUUCCUGCCAGCAGGUCCUCCCCACUCAGCCUUCUGUCCCCAGUCAUUUCUGUCAGUUCUGUGGAGAUGACAACUCAGUGCAUGGAGCCCAGAGCAGUGCAUGGAGACAGAGUAGCCAACACAAGACACCAGAACAUUCACUCCUGACCCAGUCUUCCUCAGAUAGACAUGCCUGCACCAGAAGGCUGAUGGGAUUUUGGAGACAGUCUGGCCCCAAGAAAUCAUUUGCCAAUGUUUGGUGUGACAUCCAGGGAUUCUUUGAUGCCACCUCUUCAGACUCUAUGAAAUCCUGCAUUUAGGAAAAUCAGAUUCUUCUCUAAAAAGUAUAAUUCAGGAUGCUGGAAGUUCAACAACAACUGUGAUGAGUAGAGACAGUUGUUCACUGGGACUGAGUUUACAAAAGGUUAGCACCUUGAUGAGAAUCUCUGACUCACCUAAGUAGCCUUUUACUAAGAUCCUGGGUGGCAAACUGUCUAAUAAAAAGUACUUCCAUCCCUGUUUCCUAAAUAAUCUGAGCAAGGUUGCUUGGGCUAAGCCUUGCAGGAAACUGUACCCAUCAGGUUCCUAGAUCUAAUCAACAGAAAUGAACUGUUCAG